AUACAUGCAAGUCGAACGAACUCUGGUAUUGAUUGGUGCUUGCAUCAUGAUUUACAUUUGAGUGAGUGGCGAACUGGUGAGUAACACGUGGGAAACCUGCCCAGAAGCGGGGGAUAACACCUGGAAACAGAUGCUAAUACCGCAUAACAACUUGGACCGCAUGGUCCGAGCUUGAAAGAUGGCUUCGGCUAUCACUUUUGGAUGGUCCCGCGGCGUAUUAGCUAGAUGGUGGGGUAACGGCUCACCAUGGCAAUGAUACGUAGCCGACCUGAGAGGGUAAUCGGCCACAUUGGGACUGAGACACGGCCCAAACUCCUACGGGAGGCAGCAGUAGGGAAUCUUCCACAAUGGACGAAAGUCUGAUGGAGCAACGCCGCGUGAGUGAAGAAGGGUUUCGGCUCGUAAAACUCUGUUGUAAAAGAAGAACAUAUCUGAGAG
rnacentral:rRNA from 2 species